rnacentral:rRNA from 1 species
ACUUUCAACAACGGAUCUCUUGGUUCUGGCAUCGAUGAAGAACGCAGCGAAAUGCGAUAAGUAGUGUGAAUUGCAGAAUUCAGUGAAUCAUCGAAUCUUUGAACGCACAUUGCGCCCCUUGGUAUUCUAUGGGGCAUGCCUGUUCGAGCGUCA